rnacentral:snRNA from 1 species
GUGCUCGCUUCGGCAGCACAUAUACUAAAAUUGGAACGAUACAGAGGAGAUAGCGUGCUCCUGUGCAGGAUGACAUGUGAAUCGUGAGCAUCAUAUUUUU